AUGCUCGGCGACCUGCUCAAGGAGGAGUACAACCUGCAGAAGAACACCAGGAGUGAGAUCAAGUUCCUUAAAGCCAAGUUAGAGAGCAUGGAAGCUGCCCUCAUCAAGGUUUCAGAGGCACCCUUGGAUCAGCCACCUGACAUCCAGGUCAAGCUUUGGGCAAGGGAUGUCAGCGACCUGUCCUAUGAGAUUGAGGACAGCGUUGACAGAUUCCGGGUGCGCCUUGAGUGCCGGGAACAAAAGAAGCCACAGAGCUUUAUGGGUUUCAUCCAGAGAAGUAUGGACAUGCUGACAAAGGGCAAGAUGCGACACAAAAUUGGCGUCGAUAUCAAAGACAUCAAGAGCCGUAUCAAGGAGGUCUGUGAGAGGCGUGAAAGGCACAAGGUUGACAGUGUUGUGCCCAAGCCCACUGGCACAAGUACUGAUACCCUUCGCCAGUUAGCCUUGUUUAAAAAGGCGAUCGAGCUUAUUGGCAUCGAAGAGAAGAGCGUUGACAUGGUCAAGAUGCUAAUGGAGGGAGACGAGGUGAUCAAGAAGCAACCCAAGCUGAUCUCUAUUGUUGGCUUUGGAGGCUUAGGGAAGACAACUCUUGCUAAUAUGGUGUAUGAGAAGCUUCGAGAGAAAUUUAAUUGUGGAGCUUUUGUUUCCGUUUCUCUUAAUCCCGACAUGAAGAAGCUUUUCAAGAGUUUGCUGCAUCAACUUGGCAAGGACAAGUACAAUAACAUCAUGAAUGAAUCAGCGUGGGGCGAGACACAACUCAUAAGUGAGAUAAGAGAAUUCCUCCAAAACAAGAGGUACUUCAUUGUCAUUGAUGACAUAUGGGAUAAAUCUGCAUGGAGAAUUAUUAGAUGUGCUUUGAUUGAGAAUGAAUGUGGUAGUAGAGUAAUCGCAACAACUCGUAUUCUGGAUGUUGCCAAAGAAGUUAGUGGUGUUUAUCAGCUUAAACCACUUUCUACUAGUGACUCAAGAAUGCUAUUCUACCAAAGAAUAUUUGGAACUAGAGAUAAGUGUCCUUCUGUUCAGUUGGCUGAAAUAAGUGAGUACAUCUUACGGAAAUGUGGUGGAGUACCAUUAGCUAUCAUUACACUGGCUAGUAUGUUGGCUAGUAAAAACGAACAUGAAAAUACAUAUACCUAUUGGUGA
rnacentral:rRNA from 1 species